rnacentral:rRNA from 1 species
GCAUAUCAAUAAGCGGAGGAAAAGAAACCAACAGGGAUUGCCUCAGUAACGGCGAGUGAAGCGGCAACAGCUCAAAUUUGAAAUCUGGUCCUUUCAGGGCCCGAGUUGUAAUUUGGAGAGGAUGCUUCGGCUGCGGCCCUGGUCUAAGUUCCUUGGAACAGGACGUCACAGAGGGUGAGAACCCCGUACGUGGCUGGGUGCCUACGCCAUGUGAAGCUCCUUCGACGAGUCGAGUUGUUUGGGAAUGCAGCUCUAAACGGGAGGUAGAUUUCUUCUAAAGCUAAAUACCGGCGAGAGACCGAUAGCGCACAAGUAGAGUGAUCGAAAGAUGAAAAGCACUUUGGAAAGAGAGUUAAAAAGUACGUGAAAUUGUUGAAAGGGAAGCGCUUGCAACCAGACUUGGACGUAGUUGCUUAGCCGGGCUUCUGCCCGGUGCACUCUUCUGCGUCCAGGCCAGCAUCAGUUCAAGCGGCCGGAUAAAGGCCUUGGGAAUGUAGCUCCUCUCGGGGAGUGUUAAAGCCCUUCGGUGCAAUGCGGCCUGCCUGGACUGAGGUCCGCGCUUCGGCUAGGAUGCUGGCGUAAUG